rnacentral:rRNA from 1 species
AUUGAAAGCUGGCGGCAGGCCUAACACAUGCAAGUCGAGCGAGCGGCGGACGGGUGAGUAAUGUCUGGGAAACUGCCUGAUGGAGGGGGAUAACUACUGGAAACGGUAGCUAAUACCGCGUACAAUAAGAUGUGCCCAAGUGGGAUUAGUUCGUAGGUGGGGUAACGGAUCACCUAGGCGACGAUCCCGAGCUGGGCUGAGAGGAUGACCAGCCACACUGGAACUGAGACACGGUCCAGACUCCUACGGGAGGCAGCAGUGGGGAAUAUUGCACAAGGGGCGCAAGCCUGAUGCAGCCAUGCCGCGUGUGUGAAGAAGGCCUUCGGGUGGUAAAGCACUUUCAGCGGGGAGGCGUUACCCGAAGAAGAAGCACCGGCUAACUCCGUGCCAGCAGCCGCGGUAAUAC